AUACGGAGGGUGCAAGCGUUACUCGGAAUCACUGGGCGUAAAGCGCGCGCAGGCGGUCUUUUAAGUUGGAUGUGAAAGCCUACGGCUCAACCGUAGAACUGCAUCCAAAACUAUUAGACUAGAGUGUGGGAGAGGAAGAUGGAAUUAGUUGUGUAGGGGUAAAAUCCGUAGAGAUAACUAGGAAUACCAAAAGCGAAGGCAAUCUCCUGGAACACUACUGACGCUGAGGCGCGAAAGCGUGGGGAGCAAACAGGAUUAGAAACCCUUGUAGUCC
rnacentral:rRNA from 1 species